ACGACGCUGGCGGCGUGCCUAACACAUGCAAGUCGAAUGGAGAAUCAGAUGAAGCUUGCGAUUCUGAUUCUUAGUGGCGGACGGGUGAGUAACGCGUGGGUAAUCUGCCCUUGAGCGGGGGAUAACAGUCGGAAACGACUGCUAAUACCGCAUACACUACCGGGUACACAUGUAACUGGUAGCAAAGGUGGCCUCUGAACAUGCUACCGCUUAAGGAUGAGCCCGCGUCUGAUUAGCUAGUAGGUGGGGUAACGGCCUACCUAGGCGACGAUCAGUAGCCGGCCUGAGAGGGUGUACGGCCACACUGGAACUGAGACACGGUCCAGACUCCUACGGGAGGCAGCAGUGGGGAAUAUUGCGCAAUGGGGGAAACCCUGACGCAGCGACGCCGCGUGAGCGAUGAAGGCCUUCGGGUUGUAAAGCUCUGUUCUAAGGGACGAAGUCCCUGUUUGUGAAUAAUAGAGCAGGGGUGACGGUACCUAAGGAGAAAGCCCCGGCUAACUACGUG
rnacentral:rRNA from 1 species